UCCGGCUUAUCACCGGCAGUUUUCUUAGAGUUCCCGACAUAACUCGUUGGCAACUAAGAAUGAGGGUUGCGCUCGUUGCAGGACUUAACCCAACAUCUCACGACACGAGCUGACGACAGCCAUGCAACACCUGUGUAUGGUCCAGCCGAACUGAAAGGAUCGUCUCCGAUCCCGAUGACCACCAUGUCAAAAGUUGGUAAGGUUUUUCGCGUGACAUCGAAUUAAACCGCAUGCUCCACUGCUUGUGCGGGUCCCCGUCAAUUCCUUUGAGUUUUAAUCUUGCGACCUUACUCCCCAGGCGGAGUGCUUAAUGCGUUAGCUGCGACACCGAAAAUAAAUCCCGAUAUCUAGCACUCAUCGUUUACAGCGUGGACUAC
rnacentral:misc_RNA from 1 species